CUUAAUUUAUUAAGCACGUUGUUAGGGGGUUGUCUAUUUAACAUGAGGAAGGUUUGUUGAUGUGAAGCUUUAUCUUGAUAGUGAUUUUUUAUUUUAUUUUUUUUCCACACAUAACACUGAAUUUCAGCUCAGGCUAUGCUACAGUUUUAAUUUAAAAUUGGCUACUAAAACAACUAUUGUUGUUGUUACGUCAUCAGGACAAAUCAGUAAUCAUGAGCAAUAUUUGUCCUGACAUCUUUGUAUUUAAUAUCAUAUUCUCUCCAUUCCUCUGAGAGCAGCAUCUGGUGAAUCCUUCACAAUGAAAAUUCACAAAAAAAAACCGGUAACGUCUUGUAAAUAAAUAUUAUAGUACAGUAGUGCGAGUAUUUUUGAGACUUCACUGUAAAAAAGAAAUCCGUAAAAUAACAGAAAAAGUACUGGCAGCUCAUUACACACAGCAUUAUCCAUUAAUUGUGCAGACAUUUCUGUUAACUCUAAAACUCAAUGCAAUGAAGUGUAAAAUUCAAAAUACUGGUAAAACACCUGUUAAAAAAUAAAAGCGGAAAAAUUCCUUCAAAUUAUACAGUAUAUCGUGCCCUAUUUUUACAGAUUUUUUUAAGAGUGUUCCAUGAAAAAUAGCUCGUGAUGUUCCUCGUUUGUAAAUUGCUUUGGGUUAAAACAUUAGUUCAAUGACUAAAUGAAAACAAUUCUAUUUUUUUGUUGUUUUGAGAUUUGCUUCAAGUGGCUGGAUGGACAUCGACAACUAAACAAAAUGAAGGUCUGACACCAGUCAAGACAGCGAGCUCUGAUCCCGGUGAUCCUCAAAUGGUGGUACUCUGAAGGGGACCGUGAAGAAAUGGUCAGGGUGAAGGUGGUUUCCUCUGGAAUGCAGUUUUCCUGAAUUUAACCUAUUAGACCUGUUUGUUUUAAUGCAGAUUUCAUGGACCUCUUUCGCAGCUGUGGCUAAAACUGAGGUGGAAAAAGGGAAAACUGAAAAAGGGAGCUCUGGCAUUAGAGGGAGAGACCCCUGAUCAAUGAAAACAAUUACCUUGUGUGAGGAGGGCAUACGAUACAUUAAGAAGGUUUACAGCAUGCGUUUAUGACCUCAAGGUUAGACUAUUGUAAUGCUUUAUUGGGUGGUUGUUCUGCACGCUUGAUCAACAAACUACAGUUAGUCCAAAAUGCAGCAGCUAGAGUCCUUACUAGAACCAGGAAAUAUGACCAUAUUAGCCCGGUUCUGUCAACACUGCACUGGCUCCCUAUCAAGCAUCGGAUAGAUUUUAAAAUCUUGUUAAUUACUUAUAAAGCCCUGAAUGGUUUAGCUCCUCAGUACUUGAGCGAGCUCUUAUCGCAUUAUAGUCCUCCACGUCCGCUGCGUUCUCAAAACUCUGGCCGUUUGAUAAUACCUAGAAUAUCAAAAUCAACUGCGGGCGGCAGAUCCUUUUCCUAUUUAGCACCCAAACUCUGGAACAAUCUACCUAUCACUGUUCGGGAGGCAGACACACUCUGUCAGUUCAAAUCUAGAUUAAAGACCCAUCUCUUUAACCUGGCGUACACAUAACACACUAAUACACUUCUAUAAUUCAAAUCCGUUAAAGGGUUGUUAGGCUGCAUUAAUUAGAUCAACCGGAACCGGGAACACUCCCCAUAACACACGAUGUACUCGUUACAUCGUAAGUAGAAUGGCAUCUACGCUAAUAUUUGUCUGUUUCUUUCCUAGUCUGUUUCUCAGUCCAUAUCCGAUCAGAUGGUGGAUCAGCACCAAGAGAUGAUGUCUACAGCCCUGAUCGUCAGCGGAGACCAGGACACCCAGAUGACCCCAGAGACAUAUCCCCAGAUAUAUCAACCAAAAAUAACAAAAUAACUAAAAUAUAAUAAAAUACCUAACUACAUAAUACUACUAUUGUUAGAAAUUGCAACAAAAUUAAAAUAGAAAUAUAAACUUUUGAACUGCGGGUUUCGUCUGGUCAGAGGAGAACUGGCCCCCCGACUGAGCCUGGUUUCUCCCAAGGUUUUUUUCUCCAUUCUGUCUCAGAGGGAGUUUUGGUUCCUUGCCGCUGUCGCCUCUGGCUUGCUCAGUUGGGGACACUUAAUUUCUAGCGAUUAUCGCCGAUUUGAUUGCACAGAUACUAUUUAAACUAAACUGAGCUAGACAAUGACAUCUCUGAAUUCAAUAAUGAAAUGCCUUUAACUGAAAAUUGAAAAUUGAGUGUUUAAUCUUAUUAUUAUACAUUACUGACACUCUAUCCUCCAAUUUGAUACUGUUAAGUGCUUUGACACAAUCUGUAUUGUAAAAGCGCUAUAUAAAUAAAGGUGACUUGACUUGACUUGACAGCAGAAGUCGGCAACUCAGGCUCUCAAUAUCCACUUUCCUGCAGAGUUUAGCUCCAACCUUAAUCAAACACACUUGAACAAGCGAAUUAAGGUCUUCAGGAUUACUACAAAGUUACAGGCAGGUGAGUUUGUUUAGGGUUGUAGCUAAACUUUAAUGGAAAGGAUGUGUGAUUUUCCAUUUUCCAUUUAUGAA